UACGGGGGGGGCAAGCGUUGUUCGGAAUUACUGGGCGUAAAGGGCUCGUAGGCGGCCAACUAAGUCGGAUGUGAAAUCCCUCGGCUUAACCGGGGAACUGCGUCUGAUACUGGAUGGCUUGAGUUUGGGAGAGGGACGCGGAAUUCCAGGUGUAGCGGUGAAAUGCGUAGAUAUCUGGAGGAACACCGGUGGCGAAGGCGGCGUCCUGGACCAAUACUGACACUGAAACGCGAAAGCCAGGGGAGCAAACGGG
rnacentral:rRNA from 1 species